AGCUCUGAAUUCUCCUGGUUAAAACUGAACACAGCCACUGGAAGGGGAAGUCUUAAGUGUGUGAUGGGCUGGUCCAAUCGGUUGGAGAGAUGCAGAGGGAGUGGCAGGCCCUGUCUGGAGGACUCGCAGUGGGAGAGGCCUUGUUCUGUGGGGAAGCAGCAGCAGAGAGGUGACCUAGACCCCAGAUGCCUCUCUGCCUGGAGGAAUGGCUUAAGCCAGGAGGAGUCGGGGAGGAACAAGGAGAUGUGCUGAGCUAAGCUGAAGUGAAAGAUGUGCCGAGCAGAUGGGGCCAGGAGGCCUACACCAGCCACCCCGGGGGAAGGGCCUGGCAGGAUGGGUUGACCAGCGUGGGAAGAGGGACCUGAGACACACCGGUAGCUCCUGGAGAACUGUGCUUGCCUAUCCUGGAUCCAAGUUCAAAGUUCCAUGAGUGACACCCCAGCCUUCAGUCUUCAUCUCCCUUCAGGAACAGAGGAGACAAGGGACCUGCGGUGUAGAAACCUCACAUUCUAGAGAGACACCACCCAGUCCCAACCUCGGUUUACAGGCUGAGACUGGGAUCAGCUGUCCUGACUCUAGAGACAUUCAAAUCAAGACACGGUCCUCUUCUCAAAGGCUUAAUCCCAGACAUUUCUACCUUUUCUACACUGCUUUGGAAAAAAAAAAAAGAGUAUGCCCAUCCUUAUUCAUAGACUCUUAUUUUUUUCCCUGAGAUAAGAGUUCAUUAGAGUCAGGAUGCACCCCUGAGUGACACGCACUUUCCGUCUUUCCAUCCUAACCUCAUAUGUAAAAGCCCCCAGAAGGUGGUGGAGAUGGAAAAUUCACAUUAUGCCAACUUACUUAUUAGUGUCUUCCAACCACCCCGUCCCCAUUUAAAAAAAUUAAAUUUAAAAAAAAAAACUAUUCCCAAAUAUCUAACCUGCCUAAUUCCCUUUUCCAUUUUGCAAGUUCAUUUUCUCAAAAGCAAUGCAUCUACACCAAUAAGAUCCACCCCAUUCAAAGCCACACCUUGGAGAUGGCUAAAGUUAGGACAGUCCUUAAAGUGGCCUCUGCCAUUGGAAGCAAGAGUCACACCUUCAGGACCCCUUCGUGCCCUUCAGACUCUUGUACCUAGGUGUGUAAUCACACAUAAACAUACACACACAUAUGCAAACACACACACAUGUGGCAGCCUAGUGAGCCAAAACGAGAAAAAGGCCCAUGUAGGAGAGGAGAAAAUGUCCCCUUUAUAUCUACAGGCUGCCUCCAGCAAAAGCAUUCCUAAAUACGAUAGGUUAAAUAUAUUGCUGCCAUUACACUCUACAAGAAACACAUUCCAUAAAAACGAAGGUGUUGUAAAUUAUACAAAUAUGAUGCUAACAAGCCAGGAAACGCGCCGCUAAUGAGGUCAGCUACAGAACUCCCGCAGCGCUGCAAAUCAUGUGCCAAUCCUGCAUCUGAGGUACAAGAACAGCAUUGGGUCAGCAUUUUCUGAGCGUGUUUGUAGCCUGCUGUUUGGUGUAUGGUUACACAGGUAGAUAAAAAGCCGCCACAUCUCCCCCCACGCCGCUCCCCCCCAACUUUGUUUAUGUGUCAAAUAUCCAAGUCACCAGACGAGCAUGCUCUGCAUUAAUGUACCUGACUAUUAUGCCUAUUGUUCUCCUGCUCAGAGUGGAGAAUUAGUCACUCAGAUGUGUAAAUAUUGGUUACAGUUUUGAAGCAUGCAAGCUUUGUGUUUCUAUCAGCCCCAUUCCUGGAGGAAUUAUGCAUGCUGUUGGCACCGGGUUUUGUACACACUGUAUUUGCUAAAGCUCUAAAAAUCAAAUAAACAUGUUCUCGGCUCCUGAA